rnacentral:tRNA from 5 species
GCGGGUGUAGUUUAGUGGUAAAACCCCAGCCUUCCAAGCUGGUGAUGAGGGUUCGAUUCCCUUCACCCGCUCCA